rnacentral:tRNA from 1 species
GGGGCUGUAGCACGGCAGCCGGCACACAACUCCCCUCUCAAGCCGGCCGCAGGUUCGACUCCUGCCAGCCCCA